CAAACAUCCACGCAGUGUUUCUGUCUUGCUCCUAUGUGGAUAUUUUUAUCCAGUGAUGUGAGUGCGUUGUUCUCUGCAUCUCUUUGAGUGACUGAAGGGACUAGGAUGCAAAUCUGCAGAAAUGAUAAAAUCUGCUUUAAUAAUUUAUUCUCACUGGAUGUGGUGUACACCUGUAAACCCAGCACUCGGCUGAGGCAGGAGGAUUGCUGAGAGUUCAAGCCUAGCCUGAACCACACUCCGAGACCUUAUCUAAAGCACAAAAACAAAUUCUAUUCUCUUUACCAACAACUGAUUCAAGAAUCAGGGGACCCAAUUUAGGACUUCACACAAAGACAAACUAGUUGAAGACUCUAGGAAAGGGCUUCCCAAAAAGGCUAUGGGGUUGAGGCCAGGACUGCCCUGGAGCUUCAAGCAGAAAGGCUUAACUACAGAAAAGGAGACAGCCCCGCUGGCAGCAAGGUUCAGCUCAACGUUCAGCCCAAUACUGAUGAUGUAGAGGUGUGUUCUGAAUAGGGAAGCUAAUAAAGGAAUGGACCCAGUAAC